rnacentral:rRNA from 1 species
UGGGUGACCUGCCCUCAGCUCUGGGAUAAGCCUGGGAAACUGGGUCUAAUACUGGAUAUUCACUUCCUAUCGCAUGGUGGGUGGUGGAAAGUUUUUUCGGCUGGGGAUGGGCCCGCGGCCUAUCAGCUUGUUGGUGGGGUGAUGGCCUACCAAGGCGGCGACGGGUAGCCGGCCUGAGAGGGCGUCCGGCCACACUGGGACUGAGACACGGCCCAGACUCCUACGGGAG